rnacentral:other from 1 species
UGUGCCGCCCUGUCCGCACCUUGCCUCGGCAGUUGGGACAGGGCAGCCGUCGGGGAGUCCCAGAACACGGUCCCCUACUCAGCAUGAUGGACUCGGAGCUGCCGCCGCCGGGACUGCCGUCCCAGCAG